rnacentral:rRNA from 1 species
AGUUGCGAAGGCGGCUCUCUGGACUGUAACUGACGCUGAGGCACGAAAGCGUGGGGCUCACACAGGAUUAGCUCCCCUUGUAGUCCACGCUUUAAACGCUGCGUCCUAUGUUUCGUGGGUUACCCCCUUCGGUGCCGCAGCUAACGCAUUAAGUACUCCGCCGGGGAAGUACGCUCGCAAGAGUGAAACUCAAAGGAAUGGACGGGGACCCGCACAAGUAGCGGAGCAUGUGGUUUAAUUCGAAGCAACGCGAAGAACCUUACCUAAGCUGGACAUCCCAAUGACAUCUCCUUAAUCGGAGAGUUCCCUUCGGGGACAUUGGUGACAGGUGGUGCAUGGUUGUCGUCAGCUCGUGUCGUGAGAUGUUGGGUUAAGUCCCGCAACGUGCGCAACCCUUGUCUUUAGUUGCCAUCAUUAAGUUGGGCACUCUAGAGA